GUACGUGUGUGAUGUGACUAUUUGCAUGCUCCUUGUGUGUGUGUGUGUUUGUUUAGACACAAGUGUGUGAUUCUGUAUACACAAAUAUAAAAGUGAUUGAUCAUGUGUGCGCAUGCAUGAAUGUGUAUAUACCUUGUGUACGUACGUACGCCUCUCAUGUAAAUGUGUGUUUAUGCCUCUGGUUUGUUCGUGUGUGUAUGUGUGUGUGUGUGUGUGUGUCUCUUUAUGUGUUGGGUUAUCUCUGUGUCAGGACUGGCAAAUAGGGGAAGUCAGCUGCUGAUGGCUAUCAGAUGUCAGACACAAUACAACAACCGGUGUAUGUUGUGGUAAAUGUGUUUGUUUGUAGGUAUGAUGUGAGCCUGGAAUGCUCAUUGUGGAGCUAGAGGAGUUAGAGCCCUGUCGAUCUUAUCCAUGAACAUAGACAGGGCUCUAACUCCUCUAGCUCCUCAAUGAGAUAGGGUGCAGGCCCGGCAGCGGGCUGUUAGCCAGCCUGCCAGUUUCGUGGAGUCUGCCACUAGCAUAGCACAGUCUGUGUAGUCAGCUCAGCUAUCUCCACUGAGACCGUGUCUGUGCCUCGAUCUAGGUUGGGCAAACCUAAACAUGGCGGUGUUCGCCUUAACAAUCUCACUGGAAUAAAGACCUCCAUUCCUGUCAUUAUUGAAAGAGAUUGUGAUAUCUCACAUCUCAAAAUAGGGCUACUUACAGUGCCUUACAAAAGUAUUCAUCCCCCUUGGCGUUUUUCCUAUUUUGUUGCAUUACAACCUGUAAUUUAAAUUGAUUUUUGGGGGGAUUACAUGUAAUGGACAUACACAAAAAAGUCCAAAUUGGUGAAGUGAAAUUUAAAAAAAUAACUUGUUAAAAAAUAUAUAUUUUUAAAGCGAAUGGAAAAAAAGUGGUGCGUGCAUAUGUAUUCACCCCCUAUGCUAUGAAGCCCCUAAAGAAGAUCUGGUGCAACCAAUUACCUUCAGAAGUCACAUAAUUAGUUAAAUAAAGUCCACUUGUGUGUAAUCUAAGAGUCACAUGAUCUCAGUAUAUAAACAACUGUUCUGAAAGGCAAAAAUGUCUGCAACACCACUAAGCAAGGGGCACCACCAAGCAAGCGGCACCAUGAAGACCAAGGAGCUCUCCAAACAGGUCAGGGACAAAGUUGUGGAGAAGUACAGAUCAGGGUUGGGUUAUAAAAAAAUAUCUGAAACUUUGAACACCCAACGGCGCACCAUUAAAUCCAUUAUUAAAAAAUGUAAAGAAUAUGGCACCACAACAAACCUGCCAAGAGAGGGCCGCCCACCAAAACUCACAGACCAGGCAAGGAGGGCAUUAAUCAGAGGCAAAAAAGAGACCAAAGAUAACCCUAAAGGAGCUGCAAAGCUCCACAGCGGAGAUUGGAGUAUCUGUCCAUAAGAACACUUUAAGCCGUACACUUCACAGAGCUGAGCUUUACGGAAGAGUGGCCAGAAAAAAGUCAUUGCUUAAAGAAAGAAAUAAGCAAACACGUUUUGUGUUCAGCAAAAGGCAUGUGGAAGUCUCCCCAAACAUAUGGAAGAAGGUACUCUGGUCAGAUGAGACUAAAAUUGAGCUUUUUGCCCAUUAAGGAAAACACUAUGUCUGGCGCAAACCAACACCUCUCAUCACCCCGAGAACACCAUCCACAGUGAAGCAUAGUGGUGACGGCAGCAUCAUGCUAUGGAGAUGUUUUUUAUCGGCAGGGACUGGGAAACUGGUCAGAAUUUAAGGAAUGAUGGAUGGGGCUAAAUACAGGGAAAUUCUUGAGGGAAACCUGUUUCAGUCUUCCAGAGGUUUGAGACUGGGAUGGAGGUUCACCUUCCAGCAGGACAAUGACCCUAAGCAUAGUGCUAAAUCAACACUCAAUUGGUUUAACCUCUCUGGGAUAUGUGGAAAGGUAGCGUCCCACCUCGCCAACAGCCAGUGAAAGUGCAGGGCGCCAAAUUCAAAACAACAAAAAUCUCAUAAUUAAAAUUCCUCAAGCAUGCAAGUAUUUUACACCAUUUUAAAGAUAAAAUUCUCGUUAAUCCGGCCAUAGUGUCUGAUUUCAAAAAGGCUGUACAGCGAAAGCACCACAAACGAUUUUGUUAGGGCACCACCAACUCACAGAAAAACAGCCAUUUUUCCAGCCAAAGAGAGGAGUCACAAAAAGCACAAAGAGAUAAAAUCAAUCACUAACCUUUGAUGAUCUUCAUCAGAUGACACUCAUAGGACUUCAUGUUACACAAUACGUGCAUGUUUUGUUCGAUAAAGUGCAUAUUUAUAUUUAAAAAAUCUAAUUUUACAUUGGCACGUUACGUUCAGUAGUUCUAAAACAUGCAGUGAUUUUACAGAGAGCCACAUCAAUUUACAGAAAUACUCAUCAUAAAUGUUGAUGAAAAUACAAGUGUUAUACAUGAAUUAGAGAGGUACAUCUCCUUAAUGCAACCCCUGUGUCAGAUUUCAAAAGAACUUUACGGAAAAAGCAAACCAUGCAAUAAUCUGAGUACAGCGUUCAGACAACAAAGCAGCCAAAAAGAUAUCCGCCAUAUUGUGUAGUCAACAUUAGCCAGAAAUAGCAUUAUAAAUAUUCACUUACCUUUGAUGAUCUUCAUCAGAAUGUACUCCCAGGAAUCCCAGUUCCACAAUAAAUGUUUGAUUUGUUUGAUAAAGUUCAUAAUUUAUGUCCAAAUAGCUUCUUUUGUUAGGGCGUUUGGUAAACAAAUCCAAACGAGCGUGCAGGUCCAGUCGAACUUCGGACGAAAAGUUCAAAAAGUUAUAUCACAGGUCAUAGGAACAUAUCAAACUAAGUAUAGAAUCAAUCUUUAGGAUGUUUUUAUCAUAAAUCUUCAAUAAUGUUCCAAAAGGAGAAUUUCUAUGUCUGUAGAAAAGCAAUGGAACAAGAGCUAACUCUCUCGUGACCGCGCGUCACGAGCCUGUGGCACUCUGCCAGACACCUGGCUCAAUCCCCUCUCAUUCAGCCCCCUUUAUAGUAGAAGCCUCAAACAAAGUUCUAAAGACUGUUGACAUCUAGUGGAAGCCUUAGGAAGUGCAAUAUGACCCAUUUAUACUGUAUAUUGGAAUGGCAAAGAGUUGUAAAAACUACAAACCUCAGAUUUCCCACUUACUGGUUGGAUUUUUCUCAGGUUUUCGCCUGCCAUAAGAGUUCUGUUAUACUCACAGACAUCAUUCAAACAGUUUUACGAUACUACAAUACUACUAAUAAUAUGCAUAUAUUAGCAUCUGGGACAGAGUAGCAGGCAGUUUACUCUGGACACCUUAUUCAUCCAAGCUACUCAAUACUGCCCCCCUGUCUCCAAGAAGUUAAGGGGAAACAUUUAAAUGUCUUGGAAUGGCCUAGUCAAACCUCAAUCCAAUUGAGAAUCUGUGGUAUGACUUAAAGAUGGCUGUACACCAGCGGAACCCAUCCAACUUGAAGGAGCUGGAGCGUUUUUGCCUUGAAGAAUGGACAAAAAUUCCAGUGGCUAGAUGUGUAACACUUAUAGAGACAUUCCCCAAGCUGUAAUUACUGCAAAAGGUGGCUUUAAAAGGAUUGACUUGGGGGGUGAAUAGUUAUGCACGUUCAAGUUCUGUUUUUUUGUGUUAUUUCUUGUUUGUUUCACAAUAAAAAAUAUUUUGUUAUGUUGUGUAAAUCAAAUGAUACAACCCACCCCCCCAAAAAAUCUAUUUUAACUCCAGAUUGUAAGGCAACAAAAUAGGAAAAAUGCCAAGGGGGGUGAGUACUUUCGCAAGCCACGUUAAUGUUAGAUCUCUCACUUUCAAGGCAGUUAUAGUCAAUGAACUAAUCACUAAUCAUAAUCUUGAUGUGAUUUGCCUGACUGAAACACGGCUUAAGCCUGAUGAAUUUACUCUGUUAAAUGAGGCCUCUCCUUCUGGUUACACUAGUGACUAUAUCCCCCGUACAUCCUGCAAAGGCGGAGGUGUUGCUAACAUUUACGAUACCAAAUUUUAAUUUACAAAAAAAAUGAUGACUGUUGCCUUUUGAGCUUCUAGUCAUGAAAUCAAUGCAGCCUACUCAAUCACUUUUUUCACUGAGUUCCCUGAAUUCCUAUCGGACCUUGUAGUCAUGGCAGAUUCUAAUUUUUGGUGACUUUAAUAUUGACAUGGAAAAGUCCACAGACCCACUCCAAAAGGCUUUCGGAGCCAUCAUCGACUCAGUGGGUUUUGUCCAACAUGUCUCCGGACCUACUCACUGCAACAGUCAUACUCUGGACCUAGUUUUGUCACAUGGAAUAAAUAUUGUGUAUUUUAAUGUUUUUCCUCAUAAUCCUGGACUAUCGGACCACCAUUUUAUUAUGUUUGCAAUCACAACAAAUGAUCUGCUCAGACCCCAACCGAGGCUCAACAAAAGAUGUGCUAUAUAUUCUUGGACAACCCAACGAUUCCUAGAUGCCCUUAUAGACUCCCUCUACCUACCCAAAGACGUCAGAGUACAACAGUCGUUUAACCACCUAACUGAGGAACUAAAUUUAACCUUGCGUAAUACCCUAGAUGCAGUCGUAACUAGAGGUUGACCGAUUAAUCGGAAUGGCCAAUUAAUUAGGGUCGAUUUCAAGUUUUCAGAACAAUCGGAAAUCGGUAUUUUUGGACUCCGAUUUGGCCGAUUUAUUAUUAGUAUUAUUAUUAUUUUUUACAACUUUAUUUAAUUAGGCAAGUCAGUUAAGAACACAUUCUUAUUUUUAAUUACGGCCUAGGAACGGUGGGUUAACUGCCUUGUUCAGGGGCAGAACGACAGAUAUUUACCUUGUCAGCUCAGGGAUUCAAUCUUGCAACCUUACGGUUAACUAGUCCAACGCUCUAACCACCUGCUUUACAUUGCACUCCACGAGGAGCCUGCCUGUUACGCGAAUGCAGAAAGAAGCCAAGGUAAGUUGCUAGCUAGAAUUAAACUUAUCUUAUAAAAAACAAUCAAUCAAUCAUAAUCACUACUUAACUACACAUGGUUGAUGAUAUUACUAGUUCAUCUAGCGUGUCCUGCGUUGCAUAUAAUCGAUGCGGUGCGCAUUUGCGAAAAAGGACUGUCGUUGCUCCAACGUGUACCUAACCAUAAACAUCAAUGCCUUUCUUAAAAUCAAUACACAAGUAUAUAUUUUUAAACCUGCAUAUUUAAACCUGCUAACAUGAAUUUCUUUUAACUAGGGAAAAUGUGUCACUUCUAACGCAACAGAGUCAGGAUAUAUGCAGCAGUUUGGGCCGCCUGGCUCGUUGCGAACUGUGUGAAGACUAUUUAUUCCUAACAAAGACAGCCAACUUCGCCAAACGGGGGAUGAUGAAACAAAAGCGCAUUUGCGAAAAAAGCUCAAUCGAUCGUUGCACGACUGUACCUUGCCAUAAACAUCAAUGCCUCUCUUAAAAUCAAUACACAUAAGUAUAUAUUUAUAAACCUGCAUAUUUACCUAAAAGAAAUCCAGGUUAGCAGGCAAUAUUAACCAGUUGAAAUUGUGUCACUUCUCUUGUGUUCAUUGCACGCAGAGUCAGGGUAUAUGCAACAGUUUGGGCCGCCUGGCUCGUUGCGAACUAAUUUGCCAGAAUUUUAUGUAAUUAUGACAUAACAUUGAAGAUCAUGCAAUGUAACAGGAAGGAUUUAGACUUACAGAUGCCACCCGUUAGAUAAAAUACGAAACAGUUCCGUAUUUCACUGAAAGAAUAAACGUUUUGUUUUCGAGAUGAUAGUUUCCGUAUUCGACCAUAUUAAUGACCUAAGGCUCGUAUUUCUGUGUGUUAUUAUGUUAUAAUUAAGUCUAUGAUUUGAUAUUUGAUGGAGCAGUCUAACUGAGGUGGUAGGCAGCAGCAGGCUCGUAAGCAUUCAUUCAAACAGCACUUUCAUGCAUUUUGCCAGCAGCUCUUCGCAAUGCUUCAAGCAUUGCGCUGAUUAUGACUUCAAGCCUAUCAACUCCCGAGAUUAGGCUGGUGUAACCGAUGUAAAAUGGCUAGCUAGUUAGCGGGGUGCGCGCUAAUAUUGUUUCAAACGUCACUCGCUCUCAGACUUGGAGGUGUUGUUCCCCUUGCUCUGCAAGGGCCGCGGCUUUUGUGGAGCAAUGGGUAACGCUGUUUCGAGGGUGGCUGUUGUCGAUGUGUUCCUGGUUCGAGCCCAGGUAGGAGCGAGGAGAGGUACAAAAGCUAUACUGUUACACUGGCAAUACUAAAGUGCCUAUAAGAACAUCCAAUAGUCAAAGGUAUAUGAAAUACAAAUCGUAUAGAGAGAAAUAGUCCUAUAAUUCCUAUAAUAACUACAACCUAAAACUUCUUACCUGGGAAUAUUGAAGUCUCAUGUUAAAAGGAACCACCAGCUUUCAUAUGUUCUGUUCUGAGCAAAGAACUUAAAUGUUAGCUUUCUUACAUGGCACAUAUUGCACUUUUACUUUCUUCUCCAACACUUUGUUUUUGCCUUAUUUAACGUCUCUAGGGUAGGGGGCAGCAUUUGGAAUUUUGGAUGAAAAGCAUGCCCAAAUUAAACGGCCUUCCACUCGGGCCCAGAAGAUAGGAAAUGCAUAUAAUUAGAUUUGGAUAGAAAAUACUUUAAAGUUUCCAAAACUGUUAACAUAAUGUCUGUGAGUAUAACAGAAUUUAUUUGGCAGGCGAAAACCUGAGAAAAAUCCAUUCAGGAAGUAGGAUUUUUUUGUUGUUGUUGUAGUUUUCUAUUCAAUGCCAUUUACAGUAUCCAUUGACUUAGGACUCAAAUUACAGUUCCUAUGCCUUCCACUAGAUGUCAACAGUCUUUAGAAAUUGUUUCAGGCUUGUAUUCUGAAAAAUGAGGAGGUAAGAGCAGUCUGAAUGAAUGGACCCUGCCGUGUCACAGAGCUUUUUCAUGCGCACAACCAGAGAGAGUGCCUUUCUUGUUUACCUUUUAUAUUGACGACGUUAUUGUCCGGUUGAAAUAUUAUAGAUCAUUUAGGCUAAAAACAACCUGAGGGUGGAUAUAAACAUCGUUUGACAUGUUUCUAUGAACUUUACGGAUACAAUUUGGAUUUUUUUCUGCCUGUUGUGACUGCGUUUGAGCCUGUGGAUUACUGAAGAAAACGCGAACAAAACUGAGGUUUUCGGAUAUAAAGAGAGACUUUAUCGAACAAAAGGAACAUUUAUUGAAUAAAUGAAUGUCUUCUGAGUGCAAACAUAUGAAGAUCAUCAAAGGUAAGGGAUUCAUUUUAUGUCUAUUUCUGACUUGUGUAACUCUUCUACUUGGCUGGUUACUGUUUGUAAUGAUUUGUCUGCUGGUCUAUGUUCUCAAAUAAUUGUAAGGUAUGCUUUUGCCGUAAAUAAUUGUUUUAAUCUGACACCGUGGUUGGAUUCACAAGAAGUUCAUCUUUAAACCUAUGUUUAAUAGUUGUAUCUUUUCUGAAUUUUUUAUAAUGAGUAUUUCUGAAUUUGGCGCUCUGAAAUCUCACUGGAUGUUGGCCAGGUGGUACACCCUAGAGAGGUUAAACCAAAUUGAACAUGUUUCAUUAUUUAUUUGAGGCUAAAUUGAUUUAAUUUAUGUAUUAUAUUAAGUUAAAAUAAGUGUUCAUUUAGUAUUGUUGUAAUUGUCAUUAUUACAAAUAAAUUUAAAAAAUAAAUUUAAAAUGUAAAAAAACGUCAGAUUAAUCGAUAUCUGCUUUAACUGGUCCUCCAAUAAUCGGUAUCGGCGUUGAAAAAUCAUAAUUGGUCGACCUCUAGUCGCAACCCUAAGAAACUAGCUUCCUGGUAUACAGAAAAUACCCGAGCCCUGUAGCAAUUGGAACAGAAAUGGCGCUACACCAAACUGGAAGUCUUCUGACUAGCUUUGAAAGACAGUACCAUGCAGUAACGAAGACCCCACAUUUCUUGAGCAAUCAUCCUAUUUUUCCAACUUAAUUGAGGAGAAUAAGAACAAUCCAAAAUGUAAUUUUGAUACUGUUGUAAAGCUAACUAAAAAGCACCAUUCCCCAAGAGAGGAUGGCUUUCACUUCAGCAGUGAUAAAUUCAUGAACUUCUUUGACGAAAAGAGCAUGAUCAUUAGAAAGCAAAUUACAGACACCUCUUUAAAUCUGCGUAUUUCUCAAAAGCUCAGUUGUCCUGAGUCUGCACAACACUGCCAGGACCUAGGAUUAAGGGAGACACUAUCAUUCUUUAAUCCUAUAUCUCUCGACACACUGAUGAAACCUUAUGGCUGCAUACUGGACCCUAUUCCAACUAAACUACUGAAAGAGCUGCUUCCUGUGCUUGGCCCUCCUAUGUUGAACAUAAUAAAUGGCUCCCUAUCCACCAGAUGUGUACCAAAGCCUAUCUUGAAAAAGCCAAACCUUGACCCAGGAAAAAGAAAAAAGAAAUUGGCCUAUAUCGAAUCUCCCAUUCCUGUCAAAACAUUUUUGUUAAAAGCAACUCACUGCCUUACUGAAGACAAACAAUGUAUACGAAACGGUUCAGUCUGAUUUAUGACCCCAUCAUAGCACUGAGACUGCACUCAUGAAGGUGGUAAAUGACCUUUUAAUGGCGUCAGACCAAGGCUCUGCAUCUGUCCUCGUGCUCCUAGACCUUAGUGCUGCUUUUGAUACCAUCGAUCACCACAUCAUUUUGGAGAGAUUGGAAACACAAAGUGGUCUACAUGGACAAGCUCUGGCCUGGUUAAGAUCUUAUCUGUCGGAAAGAUAUCAGUUUGUCUCUGUGGAUGGUUUGUCCUCUGAGAAAUCAACUGUAAAUUUCGGUGUUCCUCAAGGUUCUGUUUUAAGACCACUAUUGUUUUCACAAUAUAUUUUACCUCUUGGUGAUGUCAUUCAGAAACAUAAUGUAACUUUCACUGCUAUGCGGAUGAUACACAGCUGUACAUUUCAAUGAAACAUGGUGAAGACCCAAAAUUGCCCUCCCUGGAAGUCUGUGUUUCAGACAUUUGGAAGUGGAUGGCGGCAAAUGUUGUACUUUUAAACUCUGACAAAACAAAGAUGCUUGUUCUAGGUCCCAAGAAACAAAAUAUCUUCUGUUGGAUCAAACAAUUAAUAUUGAUGGUUGUACAGUCGUCUCAAAUAAAACUGUGAAGGACAUUGGCGUUACUCUGGACCCUGAUCUCUCUUUUGACGAACAUAUCAAGACUGUUUCAAGGAUAGCUUUUUAACAUUGCAAAAAUCUGAAACUUUGUCCAAAAAUGAUGCAGAAAAAUUCCUCCAUGCUUUUGUCACUUCUAGAUUAGACGACUGCAAUGCUCUACUUUCUAGCUACCCGGAUAAAGCACUAAAUAAACUUCAGUUUGUGCUAAACACGGCUGCUCGAAUCUUGAAUAGAACCAUAUCAUAUUACUCCAGUGCUAGCCUAUCUACACUGGCUUCCUGUUAAGGCUAGGACUGAUUUCAAGGUUUUACUGCUAACCUACAAAGCUUUACAUGGGCUUGCUCCUACCUAUUUAUCCGAUUUGGUUGUGCCAUACAUACCUACACGUACGCUACGGUCACAAGACGCAGGCCUCCUUACUGUCCCUAGAAUUUCUAAGCAAACAGAUGGAGGCAGGGCUUUCUCCUCUUCUCCAUUUUCAUGGAAUGGUCUGCCUAUCCAUGUGAGAGACGCAGACUCGGUCUCGACCUUUGAGUCUUUAUUGAAGACUCAUCUCUUCAGUAGGUCCUAUGAUUGAGUGUAGUCUGGCCCAGGUGUGUGAAGGUGAACGGAAAGGCACUGCAGCGACGAACUGCCCUUGAUGUCUGUCUGGCCGGUUCCCCUCUCUCCACUGGGAUUCUCUGCCUCUAACCCUAUUACGGGAGCUGAGUCACUGGCUUACUGGUGCUCUUCCAUGCCGUCCCUAGCAGGGGUGCGUCACUUGAGUGGGUUGAUUCACUGAUUUGGUCUUCACUGAUUUGGCUCCCCCCUUGGGUACGUGCCGUGGGGAUUAUCUUCGUAGGCUAUACUCCGCCGUAGGCUAUACUCCGCCAUAUCUUUGACGAUAUCUCUCUAGUGGUGUGAGGGCUGUGCUUUGGCAAUGUGGGUGGGUUGGACAGGGCCACAGUGUCUCCCAACCCCUCCUGUCUCAGCCUCCAGUAAUUAUGCUGCAAUAGUUUAUGUGUCGGAGGGCUAGGGUUAGUCUGUUAUAUCUGGAGUAUUUCUCCUGUCUUAUCCGGUGUCCUGUGCGAAUGUAAUUGUUCUCUCUCUCUCUCUCUCUUUUCUCUCUUCUCUCGAUGGACCUGAGCCCUAGGACCAUGCCUCAGAACUACCUGACCUGAUGACUCCUUGCUGUCCCCAGUCCACUUGGUUAUGCUGCUGCUCCAGUUUCAACUCUUCUGCCUGCGGCUAUGGAACCCUAACCUGUUCACCGGAAGUGCUACCGCAUCUGCUGUCUCUAACUCUGAAUGACCGGCUAUGAAAAGCCAACUGACAUUUACUCCUGAGGUGCUGACCGGUUGCACCCUCUACAGCCACUAAUGGGACGGUGACCUUUCCUCCAUCCUUCUCCAUUUGAUUCAUCCUUCAUCACAAGGCCGCAAAAGACCAGGAAUCAGUAUCCAGGAUCACCUUGAUGCGAUUGACCAGAGCCGCCAAACAUAUCUUAUUGCAGUCGGGACCAGGAAAAGCAGCAUCCAUGCUUACUUCAUCAUCCUGGACAAGCGAGCCCUGCACGUCAACGAGCGCUCUUGGUGCCUUCGAUGAGCUUUUCAAGACUCACUUUGCUUUUGGUACUGCUUACAAUACAAUGCUGUGCAACAUGUACACCUUCAUACAGACAACUGUAUACAACCUAGACAUUGGGAAGGUUAAGGUGACUCCAACAGUUGCUGAGCUCAAAGCUAGACUCCUGCAUUAAUGCAGAUUAACUUAUGUUUUGUUUGCCAUGCUAGUACCAACUUGCUCGUGAGGCAUGGAAUGUGCCCUUAUAGAACUGACUAAAAUGUGGUCAAGCAGAUUGUUGUCAUGUAUUUUGUCAAAUUUAAACUUAACUUGGAUGCUAAUACAGCUGUUGAUAAUCAGCCAAGUAAUUGUGAUUUUCCUUCAAAUUGUAGUUGUAACCAUGUUCCAAUAUCUAACAAGAACACACAUGAUGUGUGCAUCUGCUAUUGCACAGCUGCAGGUGUAGGUCAGACGACUGUAAAUAGUUCAUCUUCCAUGGAAGAAGCAGUUCAAGAGCUACAGGGUCAAGCUAAAGCAACCCCUCUUACAUGUAAACUCAGCAAAAAAGAAACAUACCUUUUUCAGGACCCAGUCAUUCAAAGAUAAUUAGUUAAAAUCCAAAUAACUUCACAGAUCUUCAUUGUGAAGGGUUUAAACACUGUUUCCCAUGCUUGUUCAAUGAACCAUAAACAAUUAAUGAACAUGCACCUGUGGAACGGUCGUUAAGACUAACAGCUUACAGGCGGCAGGUAAUUAAGGUCACAGUAAUAACUUAGGACUGGACUGGAAAAACACCAAAAGAAAGAUGCCCAGGGUCCCUGCUCAUCUGUGUGAACGUGCCUUAGACAUGCUGCAAGGAGGCAUGAGGACUGCAGAUGUUGCCAGGGCCAUAAAUUGCAAUGUCCGUACUGUGAGACGCCUAAGACAGCACUACAGUGAAACAGGACGGACAGCUGAUCGCCCUCGCAGUGGCAGACCAUGUGUAACAACACCUGCACAGGAUCGGUACAUCUGAACAUCACACCUGCAAGACCGGUACAAGAUGGCAACAACAACUGCCUGAGUUACACCAGGAAAGCACAAUCCCUCCAUCAGUGCUCAGACUGUCCGCAAUAGGCCGAGAGAGGCUGGACUGAGGGCUUGUAUGUAGGCUGUGUGUUUAAAUCUAACACCAAUGAUUGCAAUGUCUCGAGAAUUGGAACGUAAGAGAAUUGAUCAGUUAUGACUAUUUGAUCAUAAGUUCCAGUAGUUUUGUUUCUUCUAUUGUCAAAUCUAACACCAAUGACUUUGUUAACUGGUUGAAAUGUUCCUCAUUUUUGUAUGAAAUAAGCACUUUUCAAAACACAAUUUCUUCAUGAAGCAACUGAAGAGUUUUAAGAAGGUCACUAUGACCUUAGAAGAAACACCAACAUUACAUGGCAUAUAAUUGGGAAACUUUCAGCCAGGAUAAACUAUCUUUAGGUCCAAGAAAGAUGUCAGGGCUCAAUGACCUGAAAGAAGGUCAUGAGAUUGCUGCCAAGUUGAAUGUCUCAGUGCACACAAAUGUUUAGUCAGUUAAAUGGGUUAAGCACCAUGCCAGUAUUUUACAAAAUGAAGGAUAUUGUUCUUGGUUGGGUCAGCUCUUGAAACCUGAUAUUUUGAUGAUCAUUUGCAUGCAUUUAAAAGUUGUUUUGAAGCGAAGUCCACCAUGCAAGGUAUUUCAUGUAAAUGACAUCAUAUGCCACAAACCUUUUGAUUUGCUCAUGUCAUAUGGAGCAAGGGAUUCUUUUGACUACAUUCUACUGUCACUUGAUAACAGUUUAAGCCAGGGCUGAGACUUAUGGUUUGGUCAUAAUAAACAUUUGAAUGUUGAAA